AUUGAACGCUGGCGGCAUGCCUUACACAUGCAAGUCGAACGGCAGCACGGGAGCAAUCCUGGUGGCGAGUGGCGAACGGGUGAGUAAUAUAUCGGAACGUGCCCAGUCGUGGGGGAUAACGUAGCGAAAGCUACGCUAAUACCGCAUACGAUCUAUGGAUGAAAGCGGGGGAUCGCAAGACCUCGCGCGAUUGGAGCGGCCGAUAUCAGAUUAGGUAGUUGGUGAGGUAAAGGCUCACCAAGCCGACGAUCUGUAGCUGGUCUGAGAGGACGACCAGCCACACUGGGACUGAGACACGGCCCAGACUCCUACGGGAGGCAGCAGUGGGGAAUUUUGGACAAUGGGCGCAAGCCCUGAUCCAGCAAUGCCGCGUGCAGGAUGAAGGCCUCGGUUGG
rnacentral:rRNA from 1 species